CUAGGAUUACAGGAAGGAGCCACCAUUCCUAGUUUCUUCCUGUUCUAAAAAGCUAAAAAACCAGGCACCAGUGGCUCCUGCCUGGAGAGUCCCAUCUCCAAUUAGCCAGCAAAAUGCCUGACUGAAGUUUGGUUCAAAAAACCCUCAUAAUUCUCAUUGCUAUAAACACUUUUAUUGACCACUCAAUGUCCUCCCAAAAGCUAAGGAAAGGGAGAGAUUUAAGAGUAUUUGACACCAAUAAGCUAGUUACAAUUGCUUUGAAAAGCACAACAGUAUGAAGAGCCACAAAAUUUUAUUAAACUAAUUCCCUUUCUAACUAAUUUCAAAGAAGAGUGGUGCACAGCAAAUUUGAUCUUACUUACAAUAGAAAACGCGUAGUAAAAUAGGGCUGAGAGUAUGCCUGCCUAGCAAGUAGGCCCUCAAAUUUAAACUCCAGUAUCUCAGAGGGAGGGGAAAAUAGAACAGGCAAAUGUUCUGAGCAGGCUGGGAAUAAAGCUCAGUGAUAGAGUGCUUUGACUAGUAAGCAAGAGGCCUAAGUUUGAUCCUUACCACAAAGAGAAAAGAAAA